rnacentral:rRNA from 1 species
CGUAACGCGUAUACAAUCUACCUUUUGCUGAGGGAUAGCCCAGAGAAAUUUGGAUUAACCCCUCAUGGUAUUAGAGAAUGGCAUCAUUUUUUAAUUAAAGGUUACGGCAAAAGAUGAGUAUGCGUACCAUUAGUUUGUUGGUAAGGUAACGGCUUACCAAGACUACGAUGGUUAGGGGUCCUGAGAGGGAGAUCCCCCACACUGGUACUGAGACACGGACCAGACUCC